AUUGAACGCUGGCGGCAGGCCUAACACAUGCAAGUCGAGCGAGCGGCGGACGGGUGAGUAAUGUAUGGGGACUGCCCGCUAGAGGGGGGUAACUACUUGAAACGGUAGCCAAUACCGCCUACUAUCGGACAACCCAUAUGGGAUUAGAUAGUAGGUGAGGUAAUGGCGUACAUAGGCGACGAUCCCUAGCUGGUCUGAGAGGCUGAGCAGCCACACGGGAGCUGGGCCACGGCCCGAACUCCUAGGGAGGCGGCGGUGGGGAAUAUUGGACAAUGGGCGAAAGCCUGCUGCAGAACGGCCGCGUGGAUAAAGAAGGCCUCAGGGUUUAAAAGUACUUUCAUUCGGGAGGCGUUACCGACAGAAGAAGCACCGGCUAACUCCGUGCCAGCAGCCGCGGUAAUAC
rnacentral:rRNA from 1 species